rnacentral:SRP_RNA from 1 species
GUUCACACCUGUAGUCCCAGCUACUUAGGAAACCGAGGUGGGAGGAUGUCUUGAGCCUAAGAGUUCUGGGCUAUAUAGUGUGCCAAGUUAAUUGUUGAUUGAUACAGAUACUAAAUCUGUAUCAAUCUGGUGACUCCAAGGAGCAGGAGACCAUAAGAUCUCCUUAGAGGGGUGAACCUGCUCAGGUCAGGAACUGAGCAGGUUAAAACUCCCAUACCCGUCACCAGUGGGAUCUCUCCUGUAAAUAGCCUCUGGACUCCAGCCUGGGCAACAUAGCAAGACCUUACCUUUA